UAAACAGUCGCUGCACAGCGGCCGAUGUUCAGUCACCACUCGGCACUGUUCAGUCGUGCAACACGCCGCGACGCACGUUACAAUUCUGAUCUAAGUUAGGUCAAACUCAUUCAGUUCUGUGACAGUGAUGCUGCAGUGUGUACACGCCUUUAUUUUGUGACCGUUAUGAUAAUUGUGAGGACGAUAAAUAGAUUAAGAAUGAACAGUUUUGAGGUGUGGCUGUGCGCGGCGACCCUACAGCUUCUGUUACUGACUGCGGGUUGCGAGAAACAUCAUCGACGCUCAGCAUCUCAUGGGGCACUACCAGUUUCAAAAAGCGGUUGGAGACCAGUAGUGAGCUCUAAUGGUCUCGUGUACGGAUCAUUCGGUACCGCGCCUCUUCA